rnacentral:precursor_RNA from 1 species
GAAUCUACAGCCCCCAAAAAAUAAGAUUUAGUACAAUUCCUUAAUCGUACACAGUAGUACAAGCAAGCAUUGUACUGCUUUCAAACCAAAGACACGACCAAAUGUCUUAUAAAUGAUAUUUGUGUUUAUCUCCAUGGUAAUAGAAAUGAGCAAGGAGAUAUUUUUUUCCCCUGGGUUUGAAUGAACAUCAUUGAGUGCAUCGUUGAUGUAAUUUUACUUAUUUUAUUCCAUUGUUGAAUUAAUUAAAGAAGUAUAUAUCAGCGUUGCAUUCAAUUAUGUUUUUCUAAUUUUCAGGAAAUACAAAAAAAAUGAAAAAAAAAAAUCACUUAAAAGACCUUGAGAGUUCUUUUGACUCCAACAUUUAGUUUCUAUUAUUUUCGACUCCUACAACAAACUUUCACCAUACAAAAUAAUGAAGAAAACACCCAAAAAGGUUUGAAUGUGUGAGGUUAGUCUCAUUUUUAAAAUAGUGACUUGUUUUUUUUAAAAUGUUUUUUAAGAAUGUUUUUUCAGCUUUUUAUUUUAUUUUAAACCUAAAGGUAGCGUGACUAUUGUGGAGAAAUAAAGAAACAUAAGAAAAAAUAUUUUUGGUUUAUAGUAAGAUGUUGUUUUAAAAUAUAUAUUUAAAAACAAUGUCACUAUUUUAAACGGAAUAUAGACAUUUUCUAUUAAUGAGAUUAACGUCGAGCAUUUGAAUUUCUAGAUUUUUUUCUAAGUUAUUUUGUAUGUUGAAGGUGUAUUGUAGGAAUCGGAAACAUCAAUUUUCAAGAUUUUUAUAAGACUUUAAUCUUUAUCAGUUUCAGAAUAUACAGUGUGGG